UGAAAAAAACAAUAGAAACCAUUACAGAAUUUGUAAUGGUUUUAAUGGUUCUUAUUGGAAUUCUAAUGGUUUUAAUGGACACUGUAAUGGUCUCUGUGGGUCUCUAUUGGUACUUUGCUUUUUUCUAUUGGUGGCGUGUAUUGUCUAUUGGAUACCAUUAAGGACCAAUAGAACACCUUUAGAAACUUCUGGUAUCUACUGGACACCAGUAGAAACCAUUAUGACUCCAAUAAAUUUAGUGGUUUCUUUGGAAAACUGUAAUGGUCUUAGUGGGUAGGCUACUGCUGAAAAAAAAAAUGAACACACAAACAAUAGAAACUAUUACAAAAUUUGUAAUGGUUUUAAUAGUUAUAAUGGGAAUUAUGUUGGUUGUAAUGGUCACAGUAAUGGUCCCUGUGGGUCUCUAUUGGUAAAUUGCUUUUUUCUAUUGGUGGUAUGUAUUGUCUUGGAUUGCCACCAUACGUCAUUUGGAAAGGUUAUUUUUAAUUCAUUUAAUUUUUUUUUUUUUUUUUUUUUUUUUUUUAAAUCAACUCGACUCGUCAUGGCCUUCAAAAUUGACUUGAAAAGUUGGUCUUUGUUUUGUCUGUCGGAUUUGGUCCAAAUUUAGCCCAAAAAUAGAUGUGAAAUAACAGUGAAAUUCUGCGUGACUUCCACAUGCUGUAAUGUGCGCGCGCGCAGAACUGGAGCGGAGGACGUCACCAUGGAAACGAGGCGGCAGCCCAACCGUCAAGCAGCUGAUCGCUGACACUCAAUGUGGUUUCACUUUUUUUUUUAGAAAUGGUUUAGCGUCGUCAGAAAAAGUCCGUUAGCAUCUCAAAGAAGUGCCAGAAAAAAACCUCUAUGACGCAGGAGAAGUUCCUGAUUUUAACAUUUCUGAAGGGGGCUGCUGACAGAGAGGAUGAAAACAUACACAUUUUGAUGUCCACGCUGUAGGAGCAUUACUAAAUAAGUAAAACUAAAAUAUAUAUAUUUAUUGUAAAUGAUUAUAUAAAUUAUAUAUUCUUUGAAUUAUUAUUUUUCUUUUCUGCAUUUCACCUCUGCUAUAGUAUAUGCCUUAUACCUGGCAUUGUAUAAUAAAUAUUGUUGUCUCUGUGACAGUGCUUAUGUUCCUAGGUUCUUCCAUGCUGAUGACUGUGCUCUAGUCAUAUCUCCUGUCGAAGAACAUUUUUAGACAUUAUGAACCAUGAAUAAGUUUAGCUCCAACCCCAGUUAAGCAGACCUGAGCAGCUGAUCAAGGAUCAGCAGAAACUCUGCAGAACGGUGGUCCUCCAGCCCAGGACUGGACACCAGUGUUAGUGUCUGUCUCAGAAGCUGAAGAAAAAAGGCCACACCUUAUAGGAAAUAAACACCUCCUAAGUGUAUGGAAAUACCUGGCUGAGGAGAUCAGUGACAUAAACCAGAUAAAACUGUCAGUGGUCUGAGACAGCUACAAGCCACAAAAACAGUUCAUAGUUCCUGCAUUUCUAUAAUGCAUUAAUGAAUAACAAUAAUUAAAAUAAAAUGUAAUGUCAAGGUUUUGUGUUAAUUCCAGCUAUGUUGAGUAUUCUGUGAAUAAUUUUGAUUUUAGGUGCAUAUUCUUAAUUCUUUGCAAAACAACCUGAACUGUUUGCUAUUGAAAGGUUGGUAUGAAGUUUAAAUAAAUAAAAACAUUAUAUUCUUGACAAAACCUGUGUACAGUUUGUAUUAAUAAUUUAAAUUAUUUACUUAUAUUAAUUAAUGGCCUAAUUACCAGCUAUCAGUUAAACAUUCAAAUCAGAACCAAUAUAAAACUGCAACGAAAACUAUUAAAUAUAUGCAAAUAAAGACCAGUACAAACUUGCAAUGGAACCAUCAGAACCAUUACAAAACCAACGGAAACCAUUAAAUUUGUUUUAAUAAAGACCAAUACAAACUUGUAAUGGAACCAUCAAAACCAUUACAAAACCAACAGAAACCAUUACAUUUGUUUUAAUAAAGACCAAUACAAACUUGUAAUGGAACCAUUACAAAACCAACAGAAACCAUUAAAUUUGUUUUAAUAAAGACCAAUACAAACUUGUAAUGGAACCAUCAGAACCAUUACAAAACCAACAGAAACCAUUAAAUUUGUUUUAAUAAAGACCAAUACAAACUUGUAAUGGAACCAUCAGAACCAUUACAAAACCAACAGAAACCAUUACAUUUGUUUUAAUAAAGACCAAUACAAACUUGUAAUGGAACCAUUACAAAACCAACAGAAACCAUUAAAUUUGUUUUAAUAAAGACCAAUACAAACUUGUAAUGGAACCAUCAGAACCAUUACAAAACCAACAGAAACCAUUAAAUUUGUUUUAAUAAAGACCAAUACAAACUUGUAAUGGAACCAUCAAAACCAUUACAAAACCAACAGAAACCAUUAAAUUUGUUUUAAUAAAGACCAAUACAAACUUGUAAUGGAACCAUCAAAACCAUUACAAAACCAACAGAAACCAUUACAUUUGUUUUAAUAAAGACCAAUACAAACUUGUAAUGGAACCAUCAGAACCAAUACAAAACUGUGAUGGAAACCAUUAUGUGCAAAUCGUGACCAAUACAAACUUGUAAUGGAAACCAAUACAAACCAAUAAAUCCUAAUGGAAUAUGCCCAAAACACACUACGUAAUGGAAACCAUUUGGUAAUGGUUUUAAUGGUUAAUUGCUGAUGGUUUGUAAUGGUUUUGUAAUGGAAACCAUUAGAAUUUCUGUAAUGGUUUCUAUUGUU